rnacentral:lncRNA from 1 species
GUUCCUCUAGCUGUGGCAUGUGGGACGCUGCCUCAGCGUGGCUUGAUGAGCAGUGCCAUGUCCGCGCCCAGGAUUCGAACCAACGAAACACUGGGCCGCCUGCAGCGGAGCGCGCGAACGUAACCACUCGGCCACGGGGCCAGCCCCUGAAGAUGGAUUUUUAAUCAAUGGGUUGGGAAAUUUUAGGAGGCUGGCUCUUCCAUGCCUUUUCCAGAAAGUCCACAGUGUACUGAAGUGAUAGGCUCCUCAGCUUAUUAUUCAUCACUGACAAGCACACAGUUUGUAAUGGGAGAGGACUAGCCCCCACACCAGGUGACUCAAGUGCUUCAUCGUCUUAUAUCACCGUUCCAAUAUUCUCACAACAUUCUCCACUGAUUUCAUCGUGGGUAGAACACCUUUUGCCUAGGGCCUUCCCACUUAAAAUGUGUCCUCUCUUUACCAUCAAAACCACCAGCACCACCACAGUACAGACCAGGAUAUCACAGCAAAACACACGGAGAGCUGACACUUGUCUGAAGCUUUCAGAAAUCACCAGCAGAGCACCCCACACCUGCCCCAGGAUCAGCUAGAAAGUGGGUCCGAUGGCAGGCAGGGGGACCUCCAUGGUUGGGAAGGCUCUUCAGCUCUGCCUCCGAGUGCCAGUGGCCUGUGGGCCACAACUGACCACUCAGAAUCCUGAGGAGUGUUCCAUCUCGAAAGUAAACAGGUGCCCAGCAACCAGGGCUGAUCAGUUGGAUUGGGGAGGGGAAGGACGGCUAGAUUUUAGGAAACUGAACCCUAACUGAGCUCUGAAAGUAGAAACUGAUUUCACUUCUCCAGGCACUGGGGGAGGAAGAAAUGGCUGAUGGCAACCUGGAGUUCUGCCACUGUAGGCCCAACUUCCCCUGCAGCAAAUUUAGGCUAUCAAAGGCAUCCCAGGUCAUGAGGCCAUGUCCCUUUCUGUGCAAAAGAGCAAGUUGGAGCAGAGUGGUUGGCAGCAUCCCUGGAAACCAGCUCAAGCAUACAUCUUUGCCAUCAAAAUGAAGAUUCAAGAUCUUCAGGAUCUUAUCACUAAUACCCUUGAAGUUAUCUUUAUUAGAAUGUCUAUGCUUUUGAUGGAGAGGUUUGCUUCAAAAAUAAAUAGAAUAAUUCUACUUAGUUUAUAGUUAUACAUUUCUUAAUGGCAUUUUGGACUAAUAUGUUAAAUACAAUACUUGAAAUCCUCAAGAAAAUUUGUCUAAUAUUGAUUUAUAUUAAAUGAUGCCCUAUGGGGACAUAUAGCGUUACCUAUUUAUAAGAUUGAUAUAAAGAUAAUAUUCUGUGCUUGCCAAGGGUAUAUUAGUCUUGAAAUAAUAUUAAUUGACCUAUUCAAUACCAUUUCUAGCUGCAACACCUUAAUAUAUGAUCUAUUUGGGAUUUCUUUGAAGGCUAGGCAUAGUCUACCUAGAUGAUGGUUAAGUUAUUCAUCUGUUCUUUUCCAUCUGUCCUGCCUCCCCUAGGUUUUAAUCAAGGUUUAUAUAUUGAAUUUAUUGUUACGUUUCUUUAGUGUCCUUUUUCUAGAGUAGUGCCCUCUAUUUUUGCUUUAUCUGAUAUGUGUAUUUAAAAAUCUAGUUAGUUGUCUUCCUCAUGAUGAGAUUCAAGUUAGGCAUUUGGUAAAAAGACUACGUAGUUGGUAGUAUGUCAUUCCUAUUUCCUCAUACUAGAAGCUGUGUAGUAUCAUUAUGCUCCAUGAUCAGUGAUGCCAAUCUGAUCAUUCAGCUAAAUAGUAUCCUCCAGUUCUCUCAACUAUAUAUGGUUCCUUUUCAAUUAAGCAAUUUGUGAGGUGGUGUUUUGAGAUUAUGUACACAUUCUAUAUCCCCAUAGCUUUC